UACAACUCUUAACAGUGGAUAUCUCGGUUCUCAUAUCGAUGAAGAACGCAGCAAACUGCGAUACGUAAUGCGAAUUGCAGAAUUCAGUGAAUCAUCGAGUCUUUGAACGCAACUUGCGCUCACGGGAUAAACCUGUGAGCAUACCUCUCUGAGUAUCGAUU
rnacentral:rRNA from 1 species